rnacentral:misc_RNA from 1 species
UUAAGUUCAGCGGGUAGUCCUACCUGAUUUGAGGUCAAGUGUCAAGUUUGUAUGCCUCAAGUGAGACAGUCCUGAAAGGACUAUUAGAAGCUGAAAAAUACUAGCAUUAUCCUGGCGACAGCAACAUAGAUAAAUCUUUAUCAAACUGAAGCCAGUUCUGCAUGAUUUCUGCUAAUGCAUUUAAAAGGAGCUGACAGUCA